AGCAGCCGCGGUAAUUCCAGCUCCAAUAGCGUAUAUUAAAGUUGUUGCAGUUAAAAAGCUCGUAGUUGAAUUUCGAGAUCAAAUUGUUGGUCGUGCCUUGGUACGCACUGGCAUUAUUGGUUUCUCCCUUCUGACGAACCAUGAUGUCAUUAAUUUGGUGUCAUGGGAAAUCAGGACUGUUACUUUGAAAAAUUGAGUGUUUAAAGCAGGCUCGCGCUUGAAUACAUUAGCAUGGAAUAAUGAAAUAGGACGUUUGAUUCUAUUUUGUUGGUUUCUAGGAUCGACGUAAUGAUUAAUAGGAUAGUGGGGCAUUAGUAUUCAAUUGUCAGAGGUGAAAUUC
rnacentral:rRNA from 1 species